GUUUGAUGUGUUCUGAACUAGUAACUGAAGUUGUUUCAUGAGUUUCAAAAGCUUGAUUCAUGAAUUGGAUUGCUUACUUCUUCAUGCAGAAAAUGGGAUCAAUGGCAGAUGAAUUGGAUCCAUGUUGAACAAUCAUUGGUGAACACAGGAAAGGAAAGGGCAAAAGUUAGCCUUCUUUUUACAUGGACGGUAAGCAUCUCUUUUCCUAACAUAAUUGUGUAUAAUUACUCCUAGAUGUUGAAAUUCUUGAUUUCAGGUAUUGACUUGCAUGAAACAUAUAUAAAUUUUUCUUCAUUUUGUUUGAGACAACUGUGACAAAGUUCAGAGUGGGGUUUUCCUGAUUAUCACACAUAUGGCUGUCAUGAAACAUUUAAUAUCUAACAAUAUUUGAAUUAAAUGUAUGCUCUGGUGUAUUGAGAAAAACUCAUAUUGCAGUUCUGAGAGCAAAAUAUGGUUCUUUUGUUAUUUCAUUGUUGCUAUUAGAUGGCUGUCUUCACUUGUCCCUAACUGACAAAAUAAUAUUUUUUUCAUUACUCUCUUUUUCAAAGGAAAAAAAUGUCCAAUUAACAAUAAUUUCCGCAGCUGGUGUUAUGGUGCUCUAAAUUUGAUUAUUGUACCCUUCCUAAGACUAUUUCAUGGUUUGGAAAACUAUCUAUGGCUCUGAGGUUUUU